UACGGAGGGUGCAAGCGUUAUCCGGAUUCACUGGGUUUAAAGGGUGCGUAGGCGGGCAGGUAAGUCAGUGGUGAAAUCUCCGAGCUUAACUCGGAAACUGCCGUUGAUACUAUUUGUCUUGAAUAUUGUGGAGGUAAGCGGAAUAUGUCAUGUAGCGGUGAAAUGCUUAGAUAUGACAUAGAACACCAAUUGCGAAGGCAGCUUACUACACAACGAUUGACGCUGAGGCACGAAAGCGUGGGGAGCAAACAGG
rnacentral:rRNA from 1 species